AUAAAGCAGAUUACGGGGUGAUUCAGUAACUGUCUGUACUGUCCCACAUUACUUAGGGGCUCUUUACUUCACAGAUCACUGAAAAGUGAAACUCAUGAUA